rnacentral:rRNA from 1 species
UACAGAGGGUGCGAGCGUUAAUCGGAUUUACUGGGCGUAAAGGGCGCGUAGGCGGCGUGGUAAGUCACUUGUGAAAUCUCCGAGCUUAACUCGGAACGGUCAAGUGAUACUGCUGUGCUAGAGUGCAGAAGGGGCAAUCGGAAUUCUUGGUGUAGCGGUGAAAUGCGUAGAUAUCAAGAGGAACACCUGAGGUGAAGACGGGUUGCUGGGCUGACACUGACGCUGAGGCGCGAAAGCUAGGGUAGCAAACGGG